GACGAACGCUGGCGGCGUGCUUAACACAUGCAAGUCGAGCGGUAAGGCCCUUUCGGGGUACACGAGCGGCGAACGGGUGAGUAACACGUGGGUGACCUGCCCUCAGCUCUGGGAUAAGCCUGGGAAACCGGGUCUAAUACUGGAUAUGACUCCAUGACGCAUGUUGUGGGUGGAAAGCCUUGUGCGGCUGAGGAUGGGCCCGCGGCCUAUCAGCUUGUUGGUGGGGUGAUGGCCUACCAAGGCGACGACGGGUAGCCGGCCUGAGAGGGCGACCGGCCACACUGGGACUGAGACACGGCCCAGACUCCUACGGGAGGCAGCAGUGGGGAAUCUUGCGCAAU
rnacentral:rRNA from 1 species